rnacentral:rRNA from 1 species
AACGAACGCUGGCGGCGUGGAUUAGGCAUGCAAGUCGAACGCGAAAGAGGGGGCAACCCCUCGAGUAGAGUGGCGAACGGGUGAGUAACGCGUGAAGAACCUGCCUUCAACAGGGGGAUAACACUCCCAACGGGGUGCUAAUACCGCAUGAGACCACGGAGUCGCAUGGCUCUGAGGUCAAAGGUGGCCUCUAUUUAUAAGCUACCGGUUGAAGAUGGCUUCGCGUCCCAUUAGCUAGUUGGCGGUGUAAAAGACCACCAAGGCGACGAUGGGUAGCUGGUCUGAGAGGAUGGUCAGCCACACUGGGACUGAGAUACGGCCCAGACUCCUACGGGAGGCAG